AGUUACUUCCCUUCGGACAAACACGAUCGAAUUUACGACUACAGUAUUUUUUUAACAAUCCAGCAACAAUUCUCGCAAUUUGAAGCAGUAUAUCUUUUAGCAUGCCUGAUGUUGACUGGGGAGGUAUAUGUGCACUCAUGCAGAAGAAGUAGAAGUUUUCACAUCCAAUUUGGCAUUUAGAGAAGCUGAUCCGAAGUCCGGUGUUGGCAGUGUGUGAUCGACAACCCUUGUUUUGCCUCGCUGCGCUCUAUUACCUUGUAGACAUUGUGGAAUUUGGACAUGUUCUACUACACCAAAUCAGAACCAGUU